rnacentral:rRNA from 1 species
CUUUCAACAACGGAUCUCUUGGUUCUGGCAUCGAUGAAUAACGCAGCGAAAUGCGAUAAGUAAUGUGAAUUGCAGAAUUCAGUGAAUCAUCGAAUCUUUGAACGCACAUUGCGCCCCUUGGUAUUCCGAGGGGCAUGCCUGUUCGAGCGUCAUUA